UACGUAGGGUGCGAGCGUUAAUCGGAAUUACUGGGCGUAAAGUGUGCGCAGGCGGCUUCGCAAGUCGAGUGUGAAAUCCCCGAGCUUAACUUGGGAAUUGCGCUCGAAACUACGGAGCUGGAGUGUGGCAGAGGAAGGUGGAAUUCCACGUGUAGCGGUGAAAUGCAUUGAGAUCGGAAAGAACACCAACGGCGAAAGCACUCUGCUGGGCCGACACUGACACUGAGAGACGAAAGCUAGGGGAGCAAAUGGG
rnacentral:rRNA from 1 species